rnacentral:lncRNA from 1 species
UACCAAUCCCUUUGCCAUCUUCUCACAGGAGCCCAGGCCACUUCCCUAGGGCACCACCCUUGACAUGGCCCCAUCCAACACACAGUGGAUGUAGCUGAGAAGAUCAACUGACCAACAGAGGUCAAGUUCCCCUUACACCAUCUGUCUGGUUGUGGCGCUGGCUGAUGGUGAAAUUAGACCCAUUACAUCUUCUGGAGAAACUGGAAGGGGCUUGCAGUAGGUUGAAUGGUGGCCGCCCCAGAAGAUAUGUCCUUGGAACCUGCUAAUGAAACCUUACUUGAAAAAGGCAUCUUUGGGCCGGGCACAGUGGCUCACACCUGUAAUCCCAGCACUUUGCGAGGCCAAGGCCAGUGGAUCACCUGAAGUCAGGAGUUCAAGACCAGCCUGGCCAACAUGGCGAAAUCCCAUCUCUACUAAAAAUACAAAAAGUAUCUGGGUGUGGUGGUGGGUGCCUGUAACCCCAUCUACUCGGGAGCCUGAGGAAGGAGAAUAACUUGAACCUGGGAGGCAGAGGUUGCAGUGAGCCGAGGUCGCGCCACUGCACCCCAGCCUGGGCGACAGAGCGAGACUCCGUCUCAAAAAAAAAAAAAAAAAAAAAAAAAAAAAAAAAAAAAAAAAAAAGAGAGAGAGAGAAAGGCAUCUUUGUCAAUGUAUUUAAGUUAAGGAUCUUGAGAUGAGAUUAUCCUGGAUUGUCCAGUUAACCCUGAAUCCAGUGACAAGUGUCUUUAAAAGAGAUACACAGAGGAGAAGACAGACACAAAGAGAGAAGGUGAUGUGAAGAUGGGGGCAGAGAUUGGAGGGACGCAGCUACAAGCCAAGAAAACCAAGGAUUGCUGGCAGCCACCAGAGGCUGGGAGAGAGGCCUGGGUUGAGACGGCCUCAGAGCCUCCAGAGGGAGCCUGGUCCUGCUGACACCUCAGUUUUGGAGUUCUGACCUCCAGAACUAUGAGAAAAUAAAUUUCUG